rnacentral:lncRNA from 1 species
UAAAUAUUUAUUUUUAUGUAGUGCUGAGGAUCAACCCAGUGCCUCAUGCAUGCAAGGCAAGUACUCUACCACUGAGCUACAACCCCAGCCCAAAUCCAACUUAUUUUUAAAAGUUGAAUUUAAACUUUGUUUACAUAAUCAGCUUUUUUGCUGCUGUGUCUAAAAGACCUAACCAACACUAUUGUAGAAGAGGAAGUUUAUUUGGGGGCUCACAGUUACAGAGAUCUUAGAAGACAGCCAGCUCCAUUCCUUGGGACUCCAGGUGAGGUGGAACAUAUGGAGGAAGAGUGUGGUGGAGGGAAAUGGCUCACAUGGCGAUCAGAAAGCAGAGAGAAGGAUCUCCACUUGCCAGAUACAAAUAUGAACCCCCAAAGCCACAUACCUAAUGCCCCACCUCCAGCUAAAUCCCACCUGCCUCCAGUUACCAUUCAGUUAAUCCCAUCAGAUAAUUGAUUCACUGAUUGGGUUAAGGCUCUCUCAUAUCCCAGUCAUUUAUUCUCUGAACCUUCUUGCAUUGUCUUACGUGAGCUUUUAGGAGACACCUCACAUCCAAACAAUAACAAACUUCAUCUCUGUGAAACCAAGUACUGAGUCAUCUUUUAAACUAUUCUAACAUUAAUCAUCUGGUCCCUUAUUUUGUCCUAUCUUCCAUUCCUUAAGUAAGGUUGCAACUCCAGGGUAAAGAUAGUAUGGACACAGUAAGGUGCUGUCCACAAAGUAAAUAUAGAAAGAAAGCUUUGACAAUGAACUAAGAAGUUCUGAAUUCAUUUUUCCCAUCUUAAAAACAAAAUUCCUCUUUGCCCCUUGUGUUCCCAAAGGAAUGCUGUUUUCAAGAUCAACAUUGAGAACGUACAUUGCUAAAUCCAACAAUCAUUUCUAGUUGUUAUGCUACUUGACCCAUGAGCAGUAUUUAACAGUUGAUGUAUUGCCUCCUCUUCCAAGCAUUUCUUUGCCAUGCUUCCAUGACAACCCCAUUUUUAUUUAUUUCUGACCUGAUAGGAGAUAGCCAUUCCUUCAGUCUCUUCAUACCCCCUAUCUCCAAACUGGAAUUCCCAAGGCUCAGUCCUCAGAUUUCUACCCAUACCCAUUCCUUAAGUGAUGUCAACUAAUCAGGUGACUUUAAAUAUCAUCUCUGUGCUUAUGACUACCAAUUCUAUAUAACCUGAAUCUUUUCCCCCAAAUUCAGCCUCACCUCCACCUGCUUACUUUAUCCCAUCUGAAUAGCUAAAGGACAUCUCAUGUGUAAGAAGCCUGAAUACAAACCCCUAAUAUUCCUAUUACUGUCCCCACAAAAACAGACAAAUAAAAGCUCCCACAGUCUUUCCCAUCUUAGCAAAUAGCAACUACAUAGUUUAGACAAAAGAUUGAAGGGUCAUUUUUAUGCCUUUUUUCACACACCCCCAUGCCUUGGGCUAAAUAGUCUUUCCAGCUUCCUUUUCACAGUGUAUCCAUAUUUAGCAACAUUUCAUUACCUCCAAUGUGAUCAUUUUGUUCCAAAACAGUAUCAACUGUUUUUUCUUGGAUUAAUGUCCAUAGCUGACAUACCUAACAGUUGGUUUGAUUUUUAAUUUUCCAUCUCCCUCCUUUACAAUGUGUAUUUCUAAGGACAAGAAUCUUUCUGUUUCAUUCUACUAUAGUAUCCCUGGCUGCUUUAACAAUGCUUCUCUCAGUUACCAUUUCCUGAAUUAGUGAAUUGAUGAAUGCUGUAAAACCAUUCCACUUACUAACCCCAGUUUUUGAAGCUGCUAGACAGCCCUGCAUUUGAUGAGACAUUUAGAAAAAAAAAAUUCUUUUGGGAUAUGGACAAAAGGCUAAAGAUAUAUUCUAUUUGGCUGUCAUAAAAAUAUAAUUUAAUAUAUAAUAUAACCCCAAUAAAGUGGGGUCUUUCUACUCAAUGGCAAAUGCCUGUCAUAGCAAAGCACCAGCCAUACCAGGUAGAGCAUAACUCGCCCUCACUAUGGUUCCUGACAUUUCCUUUUUUCUCACUUUCUAUUGGGGUCAAAUGUGAGGUGUCAUUUGUUAUUGUACUUCACUAAUUUUUUUCUUGUAGUAGUGAAUUAUUUCUUUGACUCAAUUAUCUGUUAAAGUAAGAAGAUGAAAAAGUAAAUCAAGAAAGCCAUGAGAGGUAGGGUUGUGGCUCACCUAGCACGUGAGGCCCUGGGUUCGAUCCUCAGCACCACAUACAUACAUACAUACAUACAUAAAUGUUUAAAAAUUAAAAAGAAAGCCAUGAAUUUAAAAGAGAGACUACAUUUGUGUGUGUGUGUGGGGGGGGAGGGGGGGUAAGUAAAAAGUUAUUGCUCUAUGCAACCAAUUCUUUGACAGGACAUCAUUGUGUCUCUUAGCAAAGUGCCUAUACAUAAAUAGUAGGUACUCAGAAUAUUUGUUGAAUGAAUGAAUAAAGUGUGUUUUCCUUCUGGGCAAGAUCACAAUAUAAAUAAAACAUGAUUCUUACAAUUAAAAAAAAAUUCUCCUGACAAAGGAAGGCCCAGGGCUGGAUGGUUUCUCCACUGUGUUCUACCUAAGUUUUAAAGAACACCAAUUCUUCUCAAAUAAUUCCAAAAAACUGAAAGGUAGGGAACUACCAUACUCAUUCUAGGAGGCAAGCAUUACCAUGACACCAAAACCAGAUGACAACAAAAAAGGAAAACUAUGACCAAUAUUCCUGAUGAACACAGACACAAAAAUUCUCAAAAAACUACUAGUAAAUCAAAUCCAACAGCAUAUCAAAAAGAUCAUUCACCAUGGUAUUUAUCCAAGGGAUGCAAGGAUUGGUCAAUAUAUACAUAUCAGUAAAGGUAAUAAAUAAUAUCAACAGAAUGAUGGAUAAAAGUCAUAUUUCAAAAGAUGCAGAAAAAGCAUUUGAUAAAAUUCAACACUUCUUCAUGAUAAAACCCUGACCAAAUUAUAUAUAUAUGAAAUACUUCAAAAUAUUAGCUACAAUUAGGCAAGAGAAAGAAAAAAAGGCAUACAAGCAGAAUAGGGGAGAAGUAAAAUUAUCACUGUUUGCAUAUAUGAUUAUAUAAUUGAAAAAUUAAGGACUCACUCCACCAAAAAAACUGGUAAACAAAUUUAGUAAACUUGCAGGAUGUAAAAUCAAGCUAUAAUUAGUAUCAUUUUUAUAUAAUAAUGAAUUGGCUGAGAAAGAAAUUAUUAAAUCCAACCUGAACACAAUAGCUAUUAAAUAAAUAAAUACCUAAGAAUAAACUUAACCAAGGAAAUGAUUCUUACAAUAAAAAUUACAAAACACUGAUGAAAGAAAUUGCACAUACACUUAUAAAGAAAAGACAUCUCACAUUCAUUUAUUAGAAGAAUACCAAAUGUCUACAUAACUCAAAGUGAUUUACAGAUUCAAUGCAAUUCUCAAAAUACCAAUGAUAUUCUUCAUAGAAGUAGCAAAAACAAUCCCAAGGUUCGUAUGAAAGCAAAAAAGACCCCCCCAAAUAGCCCAAAUAAUCUUAAGCAAAAAGAACUAAACUGGAGGCUGGCAAUUCUAGAUUUCAAGACAUUCUACAGAUCUACAGUGAUCAAAACUGCAUGGUACUGGUAAUAAAAAGUAGAUACAGUUCCUAGGAAUGAUAUAACUGGAUGGUUCUUGAGAACAUAUAUAAACUAAAAAAUUCUACAUUUAGUGGAAAGAAACCCAACUUUAUAGUGUCUAGAAAUUUGCCCAUUUAUUUUACAUUUUCCAACUUGUGAACAUAUGGUUGUCCAUAAAGGCCCAAUGAUCCUUUGUAUUCUUGUGUUAUCAAGUGUGAUAUCUGUUUUCAUCUCUGAUUUUAUUUGUUUAGGUCUUCUCUGUUUUUUCCUGGUUUGUCUAAGUUUUGGGUUGUCAAUUUUUGUUUAUCUUUUAAAAACCUAACUCAUUUGUUUAUUUGUAUCUUGACUUUCUUCAUUUCUGCUCUGAUCUUUUUUAUUGCUUUCACUAAUUUAGGGGUUGGUUUGCAUUUUUCUUGUUCCUUGAUUUGCAUCAUUAAGCUGUUUAUUUAUUUAUUUAUUCAAUAUAAGAGCUUAUUACCAAGAACUGCCCUCUUAGUACUGCUUUUGCUGUAUUCCAUAAGUUUUGGUAUGUUGUGUUUCCAUUUUCAUUUGUUUUAAGAAAUUUUCUAAUUUUUCUUUUAAUUUCCUUGAUGACUCAUUGAUUGUUCUACAACUUGUUGUUUAGUCUUCAUGUAUUUGUGUAAUUUCUUAAGUUUCUUUAGUUGUUGGUUUCUAGUUUUAUUUCAUUGUAUUCUAGAAAGAUACAUGCUAUGACUCAAGUAUUCAAAUUUGUUGAGACUGUUUUGUGGCCUAAAUACACAGUCUAUUCUAAGACUGUUCUUUGUGUUAAUGAGAAGGAUGUGUAUUUUACAGCUGUUGAAUCAAAUGUUUUGUAAAUGUUUAGGUCCAUUUGGUGUAUAGUAUUGUUUAACCCUGAAUUUCUGUAUUGAUUUAUUUUUGUCUGAAUGAACUGUUCAUUGAUGAAAGUGGGUUUUGAAGUCCCAUUAUUGUCGUAUUGAAGCCUUUCUCUCCCAUUUGAUCUAAUGUUUCCUUUAUAAAAUUUGGUGCUUCAUCAUUAGGUACA